rnacentral:rRNA from 1 species
GACGAACGCUGGCGGCGUGCUUAACACAUGCAAGUCGAACGGUGAAGCUCCAGCUUGCUGGAGUGGAUCAAUGGCGAACGGGUGAGUAACACGUGAGCAACCUGCCCCUGACUCUGGAAUAAGCAUUGGAAACGGCGUCUAAUACUGGAUACGAGAAGGGUACGCAUGGGCAUUCUCUGGAAAGUUUUUCUGUUGGGGAUGGGCUCGCGGCCUACCAGCCUGUUGGUGAGGUAAUGGCUCACGAAGGUGACGACGGGUAGCCGGCCUGAGAGCGCGGCCGGCCACACUGGGACUGUGACACGUCCCAGAAUCCUACGGGAGCCAUUGGUCGGGAAUAUUGCACAAUGGCCGAAAGCCGGAUGCAGCGACGCCGCGUGAGGGAUGACUGCUUUCGGGUUGAAAACCACUUUCAGCAGGAAAGAACCGAUAUUGACGGUACCUGCAGAAGAAGCACCGGCUAACUACGUG